GAUCUACCCCCUCCGUUCGGAAUUACUUGUCGCAGAAAUGGAUGUAUCUAAACAUAUUUUAGUUCUAGAUACAUCCAUUUCCGAGACAAGUAAUUCCGAACGGAGGGAGUACCUU
rfam:Triticum aestivum genome assembly, contig: Triticum_aestivum_CS42_TGACv1_scaffold_374406_5AL